rnacentral:rRNA from 1 species
AUGCAAGUCGUGCGAGAAGGUUCCUUCGGGGACUGAGUAGAGCGGCGCACGGGUGAGUAACGCGUGGGUGACCUACCUGGGAGAUCGGGAUAACAGCGGGAAACUGCUGCUAAUACCGGCUACGCUUCCUAUUUCACUUUAGGGGGGAAAGGCGGCCUCUGCUUGCAAGCUGCCGCUCUCAGAUGGGCCCGCGUCUCAUUAGCUUGUUGGUGGGGUAAUGGCCUACCAAGGCGACGAUGAGUAGCUGGUUUGAGAGGAUGAUCAGCCACACUGGGACUGAAACACGGCCCAGACUCCUACGGGAGGCAGCAGUGGGGAAUAUUGCGCAAUGGGCGAAAGCCUGACGCAGCGACGCCGCGUGAGGGAAGAAGGCCUUCGGGUCGUAAACCUCUGUCUAGAGGGAAGAAACCAUUGGGGUCGAACAGGCCUCUUUGCUGACGGUACCUCUGAAGGAAGCACCGGCUAACUCCGUGCCAGCAGCCGCGGUAAUACGGAGGGUGCGAGCGUUAAUCGGAAUCACUGGGCGUAAAGCGCACGUAGGCGGUGUCGUAAGUCGGAUGUGAAAGCCCUCGGC